rnacentral:ncRNA from 2 species
GUGUGUGUGACUACCGCCUGUUCGGGUACUGAAAUAUCGAAGCUGUGUGGAACACCGGUGAAAUUCCGGGGCUGUACCCGCAACUGUAACAGCAGAGCUUUUCUGUGCUGAAGCCAGAUACACAAACGUCUCAGAUUACUC